rnacentral:rRNA from 1 species
AGAGUUUGAUCCUGGCUCAGGACGAACGCUGGCGGCGUGCUUAACACAUGCAAGUCGAGCGGAAAGGCCCUUCGGGGUACUCGAGCGGCGAACGGGUGAGUAACACGUGAGCAACCUGCCCCUAGCUCUGGGAUAGCUCCGGGAAACCGGGAUUAAUACCAGAUAUGACCACUUUAGACAUCUGCUGUGGUGGAAAGGAUUCCGGCUAGGGAUGGGCUCGCGGCCUAUCAGCUUGUUGGUGGGGUAACGGCCUACCAAGGCGACGACGGGUAGCCGGCCUGAGAGGGCGACCGGCCACACUGGGACUGAGACACGGCCCAGACUCCUACGGGAGGCAGCAGUGGGGAAUAUUGCGCAAUGGGCGAAAGCCUGACGCAGCGACGCCGCGUGGGGGAUGAAGGCCUUCGGGUUGUAAACCCCUUUCAGCAGGGACGAAGCGAGAGUGACGGUACCUGCAGAAGAAGCGCCGGCUAACUACGUGCCAGCAGCCGCGGUAACACGUAGGGCGCAAGCGUUGUCCGGAAUUAUUGGGCGUAAAGAGCUCGUAGGCGGUCUGUUGCGUCCGCUGUGAAAUCUCGGGGCUUAACCCCGAGCCUGCAGUGGAUACGGGCAGACUAGAGGUAGGUAGGGGAGAAUGGAAUUCCCGGUGUAGCGGUGAAAUGCGCAGAUAUCGGGAGGAACACCGGUGGCGAAGGCGGUUCUCUGGGCCUUACCUGACGCUGAGGAGCGAAAGCGUGGGGAGCGAACAGGAUUAGAUACCCCCGUAGUCC